rnacentral:rRNA from 1 species
GACGAACGCUGGCGGCGUGCUUAACACAUGCAAGUCGAACGAUGAACUUGGAGCUUGCUCUGGGGGAUUAGUGGCGAACGGGUGAGUAACACGUGAGUAACCUGCCCUGGACUCUGGGAUAACUUCGAGAAAUCGGAGCUAAUACCGGAUAGGACCUUGCACCGCCUGGUGUGGGGUGGAAAGUUUUUCGGUUUGGGAUGGACUCGCGGCCUAUCAGCUUGUUGGUGAGGUAAUGGCUCACCAAGGCGUCGACGGGUAGCCGGCCUGAGAGGGGGACCGGCCACACUGGGACUGAGACACGGCCCAGACGCCUACGGGAGGCAGCAGUGGGGAAGAUUGCACAAUGGGCGCAAGCCUGAUGCAGCAACGCCGCGUGCGGGAUGACGGCCUUCGGGUUGUAAACCGCUUUUAGUAGGGAAGAAGCCUUCGGGUGACGGUACCUGCAGAAAAAGGACCGGCUAACUACGUGCCAGCCGCCGCGGUAAAAC